AGCUAAUUUUGUAUUUUUAGUAGAGAUGGGGUUUCACCAUGUUGGCCAGGCUCUUCUCAAACUCCUGACCUCAAGGGAUCCACCUGCCUGGGCCUCCCAAAGUGCUAAGAUUACAGGUGGGAGCCGCCACACCUGGCUUAUCAUUCUUUUUCUAGAUGAGAGAACUGAAGUUCAGAGAGGACAGCUGGUGAUGAAAUUUAAUCUCUGAUUUCGAAUUCUGUGAUUUUUCUACUCUCACAGACCACCUACGACACUGGAAGAUUACAGUCAUGAAAGCAAAGAAAGGAUGCAUGCAGAGGGGGAGAAAAGCUAGAAGGAAACACAUUGAAAUGUUAGUAUUGGUUUUAUUAGGGUGCUGGGACUGAGAAUUGUUUCAUUCUUUUCUGCAUUUUCCUAAUUUUAUUUAAUAUACACUGAGAGCAAAAUAAGAACACAGUCAACUCCUGCGAUUAUUUUGGGAGUGGGGGGCUUCCCUGAGUGUCCAUUGGGGUACCUGUGACUCUUCAACUGCACUUGCUGCUUUUCCUUUCUCUCUGGGAAAUGAUCUUUUCCAUGAGUCACCUCACUCCGGAGGCAAAGUGGCUUCCUCCUUCCUUCAGAAGACACCGAGAUUUAAUCACGGAUAAUUGCCACUCAGAAAGAUCGGCAUUUUACAUCCCUCAGAUUUGCUGUCUCUCAAAUCAAACAGCUCGGCUGGAGUGCAAUGGCGCGAUCUCGGCUCACCGCAACCUCCGCCUCCUGGGUUCAGGCAAUUCUCCUGCCUCAGCCUCCUGAGUAGCUGGGAUUACAGGCAUGUGCCACCGUGUCAAGCUAAUUUUUUGUAUUUUUAGUAGAGACGGGGUUUCACCAUGUUGACCAGGAUGGUCUCAAUCUCUUGACCUCAUGAUCCACCCACCUCGGCCUCCCAAAGUGCUGGGAUUACAGGCGUGAGCCACUGUGCCCGGCCUGCAGUACAGAUUCUAAGAGACUUGUCAAAGCCUGGGACUUCUCAGAGAACGGGGGACAUUGAGCCUUCUGACAGAACUUACUCCAUUGUAAAACCUUGCCACCGCCUUAAGAUCCCCAGCCUCCCAGCACGACCCCCGCCCGGGGCACUUUCUGUCUCAGCAGGUUUCUAACCCUUCCCCUCUCACCAUGUUAGCAGUUCCCCAGCCCUCCCAGGAACUAUUAAACUCAGCAAUUCCCCAGCCCCUCCCCUCCUGUACAGCCCCUCACACUGGAUGCAUCUGCCGGCUUACAGACCAUAAAAAUCCCCUUUGCCACACCAUGGGUGCUGCAUGCCAAUUUUGGGUGCAGCCCAGCAGAUUUUCUUUUGCUCUUAAUAAAGCUUGUG
rnacentral:lncRNA from 1 species